rnacentral:rRNA from 1 species
AUGCCGCGUGAAGGAAUACAGCCCUAUGGGUUUUAAACUUCUUUUAUUAUAGAGUAACCCCGGAGGUUACCGUUGUACCCCUCCCUGCAAGUAUAUGAUGAAUAAGGAUCGUGCUAACUCCGUGCCAGCAGCCGCGGUAAUACGGAGGAUCCAAGCGUUAUCCGGAUUUAUUGGGUUUAAAGGGUGCGCAGGCGGAUCAAUAAGUCAGGGGUGAAAAAUUUCAGCUUAACUGGAAUCGUGCCUUUGAUACUGUUGGACUAGAGUAUAAUUGACGUGACUGGAAUGUGAUGUGUAGCGGUGAAAUGCUUAGAUAUGUCACAGAACGCCAAUCGUGAAGACAGGUCACGAAAUUAUUACUGACGCUCAUGCACGAAAGCGUGGGGAUCAAACAGGAUUAGAUACCCUGGUAGUCCACGCUGUAAACGAUGAUUACUCGUUGUUGGGCAGUGAUGCUCAGUGGCUAAGCGAAAGCGAUAAGUAAUCCACCUGGGGAGUACGAUCGCAAGGUUGAAACUCAAAGGAAUUGACGGGGGCCCGCACAAGCGGAGGAGCAUGUGGUUUAAUUCGAUGAUACGCGAGGAACCUUACCCCGGGCUUGAACGUAAGACGAAUAUAUAAUGAGAUUAUAUAGCCUUCGGGCGUC